ACUAGCCCUUAAAAUGGAUGGCGCUUAAGUUGUAUACCUAUACAUUACCGCUAAAGUAUAUGAUUUAUAUUACUUGUGAUAUAAAUUUUGAAACUUUAGUGAGUAGGAAGGUACAAUGGUAUGCGUAGAAGUGUUUGGCGUAAGCCUGCAUGGAGCUGCCAUUGGUACAGAUCUUGGUGGUAGUAGCAAAUAAUCGAAUGAGACCUUGGAGGACUGAAGUGGAGAAGGGUUUCGUGUGAACAGUUGAUCACGAGUUAGUCGGUCCUCAGUUCAAGGCGAAAGCCGAAAAUCUUCAAGUGAAACAAAAAUGCCUAACUAUAUAAACAAAGCGAAUUAUAAUACACUUGAAUAAUUUUGAACGAAAGGGAAUACGGUUCCACUUUCGUAACCUGUUGAGUAUCCGUUUGUUAUUAAAUAUGGGCCUCGUGCUCAUCCUGGCAACAGGAACCACCAUAAAGAAGCCGUCGAGAGAUAUCGGAAGAGUUUUCUUUUCUGUUUUAUAGCCGUACUACCAUGGAAGUCUUUCGCAGAGAGAUAUGGUAGAUGGGCUAGAAGAGCAUGAUAUAUACUGUUGUGUCGAUAUAUUCUCCUCGGACCUUGAAAACUUAUGGUGGGGACACGCAAACUUCUCAACAGGCCGUACCAAUAUCCGCAGCUGGUCUCCAAGGUGAAGAGUCUCUAGUCGAUGUAAUAAUGUAGGUAAGGGAAGUCGGCAAAUUAGAUCCGUAACUUCGGGAUAAGGAUUGGCUCUGAAGAUUGAGAUAGUCGGGCUUGAUUGGGAAACAAUAACAUGGUUUAUGUGCUCGUUCUGGGUAAAUAGAGUUUCUAUAGCCUUGUA
rnacentral:rRNA from 1 species